rnacentral:tRNA from 1 species
ACCUGGCUGCUCAGUUGGUAGAGCAUAUGACUAUUGAUCUCAGGGUAGUGAGUUCAAGCCUCAUGUUGGGUG